UCCGAUGUAGCUCAAUGGCAGAGCACCUGGCUGUUAACCAGGGAGUUGAAGGUUCGACCCCUUCCGUCGGAG
rnacentral:tRNA from 1 species